CACAGCUGAUAGUGGGUGAGUGGAGUCACAGAACACAAACCUGCAGAUUCUGUUACUCUUGUACGGGGGACCCUACAGGAUGUUGUACAUUGCAGAAAAUCCAGCACACUGGCACCCCUUACAGAAGAAACUGGAAAUGGCUGUGCAGCGAUCUCAACGGCCAAGGUUACCCAAGAAGCAGUUUGCUGUACUCAUAAAUGUCUGGAAGCUGAUGGCCACCACUUUGCACACCUCUUGUAAUUGUAGAGGCAAAAGGUGUCCUAGAUGCCCAGCAAAAAGGUAAUCUUUGCUGAAUAUGGAUGAGUUCUUCCAGAUCCUAGCCAGCCAAGGAAGUCAUUUUCGUCUUCUCAUAUGAGGAAACCAGCACCUGGAAUUCAACUGAUGUAAAAUGAUGUGGCUGGGUCAAAGUAAAAUUCUAAAUUUUCCUAACUAUUA